rnacentral:ncRNA from 2 species
UACGUAGGUGGCGAGCGUUAUCCGGAUUUACUGGGUGUAAAGGGCGCGUAGGCGGGAAUGCAAGUCAGAUGUGAAAUCUAUGGGCUUAACCCAUAAACUGCAUUUGAAACUGCAUUUCUUGAGUGUCGGAGAGGUAGACGGAAUUCCUAGUGUAGCGGUGAAAUGCGUAGAUAUUAGGAGGAACACCAGUGGCGAAGGCGGUCUACUGGACGAUAACUGACGCUGAGGCGCGAAAGCGUGGGGAGCAAACAGG